GGGCCCGCACAAGCAGUGGAGCAUGUGGUUUAAUUCGAUGCAACGCGAAGAACCUUACCUGGGCUUGAAAAGCAGUGGACCGACUGUGAAAGCAGUCUUCUCUUCGGAGUCGCUGUACAGGUGCUGCAUGGCUGUCGUCAGCUCGUGCCGUGAGGUGUUGGUUAAGUCCCGCAACGAGCGCAACCCCUACCAUUAGUUGCCAUCAGGUUAAGCUGGGCACUCUAAUGGGACUGCCUACGCAAGUAGUGAGGAAGGUGGGGAUGACGUCAAGUCAGCAUGGCCCUUACGCCCAGGGCUACACACGUGCUACAAUGGGUGCUAAAACGGGUAGCCAAGCCGCAAGGUGGAGCCAA
rnacentral:rRNA from 1 species